rnacentral:rRNA from 1 species
UACGAAGGGGGCUAGCGUUGUUCGGAAUUACUGGGCGUAAAGCGCGCGUAGGCGGACAUUUAAGUCAGGGGUGAAAUGCCGGGGCUCAACCUCGGAACUGCCUUUGAUACUGGAUGUCUGGAGUUCGGGAGAGGUGAGUGGAACUGCGAGUGUAGAGGUGAAAUUCGUAGAUAUUCGCAAGAACACCAGUGGCGAAGGCGGCUCACUGGCCCGGUACUGACGCUGAGGUGCGAAAGCGUGGGGAGCAAACAGG